CUGCUACGAGGUUCUAGUAACUAUAUGGGAUUCAGAUUUCCUCCUUUCCCCUGACAGAUUAACUACCUGUCACAGGAAACCACUGUAACAGUGGGAGGUUGUUGUUUGAUUGAAUUGAGACAAAAUUUGUGUUCACAAAUCGCCGCAUUUGUGAUUUUUAAGUUUGCAGUUGAAUCUGCUGUUGAGGGAUUUGUCACUUUGAUUCUUGUCUCUAUAGUCUGCUAUGAAGUUCUAGUAACUAUAUGGGAUUUAGAUUUCCUCCUUUCCCCUGACAGAUAAGCUAUCUGUCACAGGAAACCACUGUAGCAGUGGGAGGUUGUUGUUUGAAUGAAUUCAGACAAAAUCCGUGAUCACAAAUCGCCGCAUUUGUGAUUUUAAAGUCUGCAGUUGAAUCUGCUGUUUAAGGAUUUGUCACUUUGAUUCUUGUUCCUGUAAAUGAUUUUAUUGAACCAAUCUGCCUGAGCAGAUGGUGUAAAGUUCUAUGUUUGAGGGUGC